GCUCUGGUGGCUAAGUGGUUGAAGCUACAGCACCAUAUAAAGUUUGAUCAAUUGAGUCCGCUGCAAUCGUGGGUUCGACUCCCGCCCAGGGCA